rnacentral:tRNA from 1 species
GGCCCAUUAGUCAAGUGGCUAAGACGCUGGAUUUUCAUUCCAGAAGCAGGGUUUCGAUUACCCUAUGGGCUA